GCCCAGGGAUCUGCUCUGGGUCCAGGCUGUCCGUGCUGGAGGGCCCUGGUGGCUGCAGUCCCUGAGCCCGCAGAGACAGAGAGAGCCCCGGCCCGAGUGGCCUUUGGCCCCUUGUCCUGAAUUUGGGAGCGCCGGGGACAGUUUGGGCUUGGCAGCUUCAGAGCUGGGUCGGAGCAGCCCCUGGAAAGAAUCAGGAGAGUGGAGGUUUGUCCCAGUGGUGCUUUCACACCCCACUGGACAGGCUGGGCUUUGUGUUUGAGGUUGUCCUGUAUUUGCUCUGCAGAUAAGGGGCCCUUCCCAAUUCAGCCCAGCAGAUCCCAAGGGCUCUGACAGGAAUAUUUGUUCUUUCCUUCCCUUUGGGAUAACUUCAUCUCCAAACUGCCAUGAGCAAUUCCUUAAUUUCUGCUGGAGAAAACCAAGUGUCAGAGGCAGUUUGCCAAGGAGGCCAGAAGUGUCUUUGGAGCAGAGAGUGCUGCCAGCUGCGUGUGCCUGUCCCCAGCCUGGCACUGCCCACAGGGACACACUGGGCACUGACCAUGAGAGGGAACAAACCCACUGCCUGCCAGAGGGUUUGUCCUGGGCCAUCAGGCCUUGGGCAGGAAUUGGACUGGGCAACUCCAUCAGCUGCUCUUCCCUCCCCCACAAAGCCCCAUCCCCUGGGCAUUAAUGACGUGCCCUGUGCCCAGCGCUCCCUGUUCACCCAACUGAAACCAGAGCAAGGCUUGCUUUGCUUGGAACAACUUAAAGUAACUUUAAACCAAAAUAAAUCACUUUUUUUGUUCUUUUUUUUUCCUUUUAGAUGCUGGAAUUGCCUGACUGGCUGUGUGCUGAGCUCUGGCUGCAGGGGACUGUCAGGCCUUGGUGGCUCUGUUCCCUGCUGUCCAUUCCCUGGCCUGAAUUCCUUGCAGCUCCCAGCUGGGGAAACCUGGGAGAACAUGGCAGGGACAGAGGUGACAUUUGUAGCUGCCAACUUGGGGUAAUUUCGAGGGGCCCCAGCAACUGUUUGUGUAGGAAAAGGUGAGGUGCUGCAGAGGGGAGGGAGGUGGCAUUUUGGAGGGGUCCCACUGAGGGGGAGUGGAGAGCCUGGGGCUGGAGUGUGAGUUCUUAAACAGGGAAGAAGGGAAGGAUGCUUGGGAGGGAAACACUCAGGGAAUGUGUAGGGAUGGAAGGGAAAUUUGGGGCGUCAGGAAGAGAAAAUGGGUGAUGUAGAGGAAGGGAAAUGUUGGGGGUAAGAGUUGAUGUCAUCUGUAGAGGACAGAAUGACCAUUUAGAGAUAAAGUGAGGCAGUGAGUGGUGGGCAGGUAGGGAAAAUUUGUGUGUGUAAAAUUUCAGGUCACCUGUAGCAGAGAGGAUGUACCUCCUGCUGGACACUGAGGCAGUCAACAGUGGGCAGGAGGGGAAACCUCUGGGGGUAAAACUUGAGGGAAUGUCCUGGGCAGAGAAUGAAUAUUUUGAAGGAUAAAUGAGGUACUCAGUGGUGGACAGUUGGGGAGUGUUUUAGGGUAAACUUGGGGUAGCCCACAGGGUAGAGAAUGAACAUGUGUUUGUACAGAGGAGCUGAUUACAUGUGGGUAGGUAAGGAGAAUUUUGGGAGUAAAAUCUGGGCAAUCUGUAGCAGAGAGAAUGAAUACCUCGGGGUAAAGUGAGGCAGUCAGUGUUGGGCAGGUAGGGAAAAUUCGUGUUUGUCAAAUUUGAGGUCACGUGGAGCAGAGAAUGUACAU